GGCGAGCGAAAAGGGAAGAGUCCAGCACCGAAUCCCCUANNUUUUAGUUAGCGGGAAAUGUGGUGUUUGGGAGUGAGCGUCUCGGCAGUCGACUCUGCAGCAAGUCCCCCUGACCGGGGCUCUUUCCCAGAGUGGGUGCGAGGCCCAUAGCUGCUAGGUCUCUGCCGAAUGCAAUCUCCUCGGAGUCGGGUUGCUUGGGAGUGCAGCCCUAAGCGGGUGGUAAACUCCACCUAAGACUAAAUACUGCCGUGAGACCGAUAGCAAACAAGUACCGUGAGGGAAAGUUGCAAAGAACUUUGAAGAGAGAGUUCAAGAGUACGUGAAACUGCUCAGAGGGAAACGGGUGGGCCCUCGAAAUCCUGUGUCUGGAGGAUUCAGUGGCCCGAGUAGGUGGACUUGGAGGAGCGUUAACAGAAUGGUUAUCCGGGAUCGGACCUCUC
rnacentral:rRNA from 1 species